GCUGGUUUGGCUCAGUGGAUAGAGCGUCAGUCUGCAGACUGAAGGGUUCCGGGUUCGAUUCCGGUCAAGGGCA
rfam:Myotis davidii contig111978, whole genome shotgun sequence.